rnacentral:pre_miRNA from 7 species
CACUAAAUAAAGAUAGUGAAAGACCCCCGAAGGGAGACCCUCACUCAAGCCUCGGGACAGCCUCGGACCCAAGAAGACACUGAGACCG